GAAGAAAGCGAUACCUAAAGUGUAGAACAGCUCAGAACUAAACUAUCUACCAACAGCCCAGAACUAUACUAUCUACCAAACACUUUCAUCUACAAGGUACUGUCCUGUAAUCUACCCCGACCUCCCUCUCAAUAUCGCGCUAAGGAAGAAAGCGAUACCUAAAGUGUAGAACAGCUCAGAACUAAACUAUCUACCAACAGCCCAGAACUAUACUAUCUACCAAACACUUUCAUCUACAAGGUACUGUCCUGUAAUCUACCCCGACCUCCCUCUCAAUAUCGC